AUACUCUGGUUUCUCUUUAGGGCACAUAAAUCUUUCACCUUUUACUAAAGAUUUUCAUAGAGGAACAAUUCUGAGUUUUGAACCAAUUUUUGAGGCCUUGAAUCUGCAAGGUU